rnacentral:rRNA from 1 species
UACGAAGGGGGCGAGCGUUGUUCGGAUUUACUGGGCGUAAAGGGUGCGCAGGCGGUUCUGUUUGUCGAGUGUGAAAGCCCCGGGCUCAACCUGGGAACUGCGCUCGAAACGGCGGAACUAGAGUUCGGGAGAGGAGAGUGGAAUUCCCAGUGUAGAGGUGAAAUUCGUAGAUAUUGGGAAGAACACCGGUGGCGAAGGCGGCUCUCUGGACCACAACUGACGCUGAGGCGCGAAAGCGUGGGGAGCAAACAGG